rnacentral:misc_RNA from 2 species
UGACCAAUCACGCCUGGCGUGGUCUUGGGGUUCGCGUCCAGCGGCCCUUAAAAUCAGUGGCGGCGUCCGUUGGGCUCUAAGCGUAGUAAUUUCUCCUCGCUUUUGGGCUCUGCGGGUGCUUGCCAUAACCCCAACUUUCUUA